UUGACAUUGGGUCAGUGGCAGAGCAUCUUGCCUUGCAAGCAGAAGGUCUCAGGUUCAAUCCCUAGUGUGCCCAAA